UACGAAGGGGACUAGCGUUGUUCGGAAUCACUGGGCGUAAAGCGCACGUAGGCGGAUUUGUAAGUCAGGGGUGAAAUCCCGGGGCUCAACCUCGGAACUGCCUUUGAUACUGCGAAUCUCGAGUCCGAUAGAGGUGGGUGGAAUUCCUAGUGUAGAGGUGAAAUUCGUAGAUAUUAGGAAGAACACCGGUGGCGAAGGCGGCUCACUGGCCCGAUACUGACGCUGAGGCACGAAAGCGUGGGGAGCAAACAGG
rnacentral:rRNA from 1 species